rnacentral:lncRNA from 1 species
UAAAGCUCAAAGUUUCUUGUUUGUUUGUUUUUCACAUUCCUUGCUGUGGACACCGCAACUGUCUCGCUCGAAGCGGACACCGGAACUCUUUCAAAGUGCAAGCGCAUGUAAAU